GACGAACGCUGGCGGCGUGCCUAAUACAUGCAAGUCGAACGCAGUGGGGACGGGUGAGUAACACGUGGGUAACCUCCCAUCAGAGGGGAUAACACGUGGAAAAAGGUGCUAAACCGAUACUAUUGGAUGGACCCGCGGGGCAUUAGCUAGUUGGUGAGGUAACGGCUCACCAAGUGCACGAUGCAUAGCCGACCUGAGAGGUGGAUCGGCCACACUGGUACUGAGACACGGCCCAGACUCCUACGGGAGGCAGCAGUAGGGAAUCUUCGGCAAUGGACGAAAGUCUGACCGAGCAACGCCGCGUGAGUGAAGAAGGUUUUCGGUUCGUAAAGCUCUGUUGUUAGAGAAGCGGUAUCUAACCAGGAAGCCACGGCUAACUACGUGCCAGCAGCCGCGGUAAUAC
rnacentral:rRNA from 1 species